GCACAUAGUUAGCCGGGGCUUCUUCUGCGGGUACCGUCAUUAUCGUCCCCGCCGAAAGAGCUUUACAACCCUAGGGCCUUCAUCACUCACGCGGCAUGGCUGGAUCAGGCUUGCGCCCAUUGUCCAAUAUUCCCCA
rnacentral:rRNA from 1 species